rnacentral:rRNA from 1 species
GAUCAUGGCUCAGGAUGAACGCUAGCGACAGGCUUAACACAUGCAAGUCGAGGGGCAGCAUAGAAGUAGCAAUACUUGGUGGCGACCGGCGCACGGGUGAGUAACGCGUAUGCAACCUACCUAUCAGAGGGGAAUAACCCGGCGAAAGUCGGACUAAUACCGCAUAAAACAGGGGCACCGCAUGGUGAUAUUUGUUAAAGAAAUUCGCUGAUAGAUGGGCAUGCGUUCCAUUAGGUAGUUGGUGAGGUAACGGCUCACCAAGCCGACGAUGGAUAGGGGAACUGAGAGGUUGGUCCCCCACACUGGUACUGAGACACGGACCAGACUCCUACGGGAGGCAGCAGUGAGGAAUAUUGGUCAAUGGGCGGGAGCCUGAACCAGCCAAGUCGCGUGAAAGGAAGAAGGAUCUAUGGUUCGUAAACUUCUUUUGCAGGGGAAUAAAGUGCAGGACGUGUCCUGUUUUGUAUGUACCCUGAGAAUAAGGAUCGGCUAACUCCGUGCCAGCAGCCGC